rnacentral:rRNA from 1 species
GAAGGCCUUCGGGUUGUAAAGCACUUUAAGCAGGGAGAAAAAGUUAUAAGUUAAUACCUUAUAACCCUGAUGUUACCUGCAGAAUAAGCACCGGCUAAUUCCGUGCCAGCAGCCGCGGUAAUACGGAAGGUGCAAGCGUUAAUCGGAAUUACUGGGCGUAAAGCGCGCGUAGGUGGUUUGUUAAGUUGGAUGUGAAAGCCCUGGGCUCAACCUAGGAACUGCAUCCAAAACUAACUCACUAGAGUACGAUAGAGGGAGGUAGAAUUCAUAGUGUAGCGGUGGAAUGCGUAGAUAUUAUGAAGAAUACCAGUGGCGAAGGCGGCCUCCUGGAUCUGUACUGACACUGAGGUGCGAAAGCGUGGGUAGCGAACAGGAUUAGAUACCCUGGUAGUCCACGCCGUAAACGAUGACAACUAGCUGUUGGGAGACUAUGUCUUUCAGUGGCGCAGCUAACGCUU